rnacentral:rRNA from 1 species
UACGUAGGGUGCAAGCGUUGUCCGGAAUUAUUGGGCGUAAAGAGCUCGUAGGCGGUUUGUCGCGUCGGCUGUGAAAACUCGGGGCUCAACCCCGAGCCUGCAGUCGAUACGGGCAGACUAGAGUGCUGUAGGGGAGACUGGAAUUCCUGGUGUAAGCGGUGAAAUGCGCAGAUAUCAGGAGGAACACCGGUGGCGAAGGCGGGUCUCUGGGCAGUAACUGACGCUGAGGAGCGAAAGCGUGGGGAGCGAACAGG